GCCUUGUGCCCAGAGUAGACAGAUUCCCUAAUAAAGAUGGAAGCGUCAACUCUGAAGCAAGGAUACUUGGUAAAAUGAUUUUAAAACUGACAAGAAAAAGCAGCUCGAAGUGGCCCAGCAAGUUCAGAGAAAGUCCGCGCUGGCGGGACGCACGGAGGCGGUGUGAUGAGCUGUGCGCUGCUGACACCACGCUGAGUGAACAGAGGAAGGCUCUUGCUGUGGGUCAAGACAGGCUGGAGCAGAAGCCUUGAAAGCAGAUAGGAAACCAACGCAGUGGUCUUUCGUGAUUGCUGGGAAACUGAAGUAAAAUACGGAAAGCUGACAGCAAGAGGGAAUACUUCUCCCCAG
rnacentral:lncRNA from 1 species